GGCCCAAAUUUGAAGUACAGUAGACUAGUAGUAUCAGCUGAUGCUGAUUAUCUGCUGUAUUUCAAAUUUGGGCCC
rfam:Haemonchus contortus, ISE/inbred ISE, WGS project CAVP01000000 data, contig: Hcontortus_29176